GUCGGCAAAAUCAAAAAUAUAUUCGUUGCCCGGGGUUUCUCUGGGGAAGAAAUUUCGAUAUCAAUGAGAAACUAUGAAAUUUAUUCCAUCUCCCUCUUCAUGUAGAUCUUCAGGAUCUAUAUUUUUCCAAAAUUCUACAAAGAUUUCCUCUUACUCUUCGAUCGAUCACUUGAGUUGCUGAAGGUACGAAUUAUACAGAGUGGUUGCUAGAACUCCAGGUAACUGGCCACUUAUCGCCUGCUACACAUACGUGUGCCGAACAUGCCAGAUAUCUUUUGCAAACUCACAAUGAUGAAUGACCAUGUAAAGAAUAAGUCUUUAUGCCUAACUGGACACUCUAUUUUGUCUCACUUCAGUGGUUAUUACCAGUCCAGGGUGUUUUAGGGAUUUCUAGGCUUCCAGUUAGCUACUAACAAGACGGCCUCCACCAGGAUCCAGCAGAGUGAUUCUGUCCGCGUCAUACGUUACUGAACGAGGUCAUACCUUGUUCUAUCCAGGCUCCUUGGAGCACUGUCUAUCAUGUCUUUGAUGCCCUCCCUUGUUGACAAAGGUCUGGUGCUGCUAUCUGCGUUCUUCUUGGGUCACUAUUUGUUGCGUUUUCUUGUGUGGUAUCAGCAGAAGAACCUUUAGAGGUAGAGGAAAUUUGAAAAAUAUGCAGAACCAGUUGUAGCUGCAUAAUGUUUAUUUUCGUUGGUGUUCCCGCUGGAAGCUUGCGGAUGCAUGCUGACGUCCCCUAGAGAGGUAGUUUAUUUCUUCACUUCCAAUUCAGUGUGAUAAACUUUUGCAUUCCAGCACUUAAAAAAAAAAACAAGCAUUUACAACUGUCGAAAUGAAUGCAAAUCAAGUAUUCUCCUCCAGAAAUUGGUACAACUUAAUGUACAUUUCAGAGUGUGUGAUCAUAUGAAUCUAGUAGGCAUGUGCCUAAACAAGUAGUCAUAUAUACGAGCCAUCUGUUACUUCUGUUAUCUGGGAUGUUAUGGGCACCCUUACUGUAGUCUGUUGCAUUUGGUUAAUUUACAGUAUUCGGGUACUAAACCAAGGCUGCCGAAUCUUAGUUUUCCGUGAUGUUUCCUCCCUUGAUGCUUGUGUACCAUGAAUUAGACAAGUACCUUUUCACAGUUAUGAACAGAUUUACAUGAAUUUCUUCAACUAUUCUUUAAUUGAAGCUUCAUGUUAUGAACCUCCUUAGUCAAGCACGUUAAUUGCUUCUUCUCAGAUGAUGCUAUUAACUUUGUUGAGUCCUUUUAUAAGUUAAAGGUGUAAUGUGAAGACACAGGUGGAAUGGCUUUAACUGUCAUUAAACGUGUUGUAUGUAACUUCUCUGUUAAUUAGCUUACAUUGAAAGCUUAAUGUAGCAUUGAUGUUAUGAAAGCACUGCUUACAUGUUUGUCCUUGUGGAGAUGUAGAUAAUGGCCAUGUACAUUUUACUCGGUAACAAUGUUUGUAUAUCUCUCUAUCCUUAUGGACAAUUGAACAAAAGUUGACACAUAAAUAUUCUUGUUAAUGGUUACUGGGUGAUCCCUACCUAGUUGUUUAUUCAAAUAUUUGUUCAGUUAUGAUUAUAAUUUGAACUUUACAGUUCAAAGACAAGAGAGGAUAUAGAACAGAACAGUUGUGAUUAUUGUAAUUUGCUGGGAUUGAAAUAUGCACUCUUCUGAAAUGCAAGGAACUGAAGAAGGUUAUGUACAUAGAAAUUACUUACAUCCAGGUUUUUCCUGAGAGGAAAAUUUGAUGUCAAAGAGGCCAAUGUUGACUGCUGGAGGUGGCUAUUGGAACCCGGGGAGAGAGGAAAUGCAUUGAUCUUAUCUUCUGAAUUUUCCGAGCCCAAUUGGUCAAAACUCAAAACCUUUUAAGGGAACUGAAGAAGGUUAUGUACAGAAGACUUACUUACUGCCAGAGAUUGCCUGAGAGGAAAAUUGGAUGCCGAAGAGGCCAAUGCCGACUGGUGGAGGUGGGCCAUGUGGCUAUUGGAACCAUGGGGAUAAAGGAAAGGCCUUGAUCUUAGGACGACUUCACCUGAUGACUUUGCUGAGCCCAAAUGGUCAACCUUCUAAGGUAUGAUUUGAUGAAAUUUUAAAGAGAAUUCCUGGUCACCUUCAGUUAUGCAUGAAAUCAAUAUCGACUACUUCAUCAUCCCCAGUAUGCUCAUUUUACCUUUGUGAGUAUGUAUCAGCAUUUUAAAAAUUUCAAUUAUUGUGGUUAAUGCACCGAAAUUCCCUUAGAUUAACACUAUCUGGAUCAAAAAACUUCCUACAUUGUACAUUUUCUUAGAAAGAUAGAAUAGCGGAAUCUGAAUUUGAAAAACUGCUUACAAUAUUCAUUCCCAUUAGAAAGAUAAAAUAGCAUAAUCUGAAUGAAGAAAGCUUGUACUGGAAUAGCACUAAGCGGGAAGAGGACUGAAUUUACAAUAGCUAAUACUACUGCAGCAAAAAAAUUAGUCGCAAGAAACUUUGUACUUUAUAUUUACUGGAGUAGAGAUAUUGUAUCCUUUCUUAUUUUA